rnacentral:rRNA from 1 species
UACGUAGGGGGCGAGCGUUGUCCGGAUUUAUUGGGCGUAAAGAGCUCGUAGGCGGCUUGGCAAGUCGGGUGUGAAACCUCCAGGCUCAACCUGGAGACGCCACUCGAUACUGCCAUGGCUAGAGUCCGGUAGGGGACCACGGAAUUCCUGGUGUAGCGGUGAAAUGCGCAGAUAUCAGGAGGAACACCGGUGGCGAAGGCGGCUACCUGGACCGGUUCUGACGCUGAGGCGCGAAAGCGUGGGUAGCAAACAGG